rnacentral:rRNA from 1 species
AACGAACGCUGGCGGCAUGCCUAACACAUGCAAGUCGAACGAACCGUUCGGGAGUAGUGGCGUACGAGGGAGUAGCACGUGGGAACAUUCACUUAGGGUCGAAAUAACUCUGGGAAAGGGGUGCUAAUACCGAAUGGGCGCUUCGGGCGGAAGAUUCAUCGAAUUUAGAGGGGCACGCGUCUGAUUAGCUAGUUGGGUGAGGUAAAGGCUCACCAGGGCGACAAUCAGUAGUUGGUAUGUGAGGCUGAUCACCCACACUGGAACUGAGACACGGCACGGACUCCUACGGGAGGCAGCAGUGCGGAAUGUUGCAAAAUGGGCGAAAGGCUGAAGCAGCUAUGCCGCGUGAAUGAUGAAGGUCUUAGGAUUGUAAAAUUCUUUUAACGGUGAAGAUCAUGACGGUACCUGGAGAAGAAGCCCCGGCUAACUUCGUG